CAAGUCGAACGGUAAUAAAUAAAUAAUAGUUUUAUUAUUUAUUUAACGAGUGGCAAACGGGUGAGUAAUGUUUGGGAAUCUACCUGAUAAAUAGGAAUAACUAUCAGAAAUGAUAGCUAAUACCUAAUAGUAUCAUAUUUAUAUGAUUAAAGUAGGGGCUUUUUAUUAUUUUAUAAAAACCUUAUAUUAUCAGAUGAGCCCAAAUGAGAUUAGCUAGUAGGUAGGAUAAAAGCUUACCUAGGCUACAAUCUCUAGCUGGUCUGAGAGGACGAUCAGCCACACUGGGACUGAGACACGGCCCAGACUCCUACGGGAGGCAGCAGUGGGGAAUAUUGCACAAUGAGGGAAACCUUGAUGCAGCUAUGUCGCGUGUAUGAUGAAGGCCUUUGGGUCGUAAAAUACUUUCAGUAAAAAAGAAGAAAAUAUAACUAAAAUUUAUAUUUUUUGACUAUUUACAAAAGAAGCACCGGCUAACUCCGUGCCAGCAGCCGCGGUAAUACGGUGGGUGCAAGCGUUAAUCGGAAUUAUUGGGCGUAAAGAACACGUAGGUGGUUUAUUAAGUUAAAUGUAAAAUCCUCUAGCUUAACUAGAGAAAGCUUUUAAUACUAAUAGACUAGAGUAUCAUAGAAGAAGAUAGAAUUCCAAGUGUAGCGGUGAAAUGCGUAGAUAUUUGGAGGAAUUUCAGAGGCGAAAGCGAUCUUCUAGAUGAUAUCUGACACUGAGGUGUGAAAGCGUAGGGAGCAAACAGGAUUAGAUACCCUGGUAGUCUACGCUGUAAACAAUGUCAACUAGAAGAUUGUUAAUCAAAUAAUGGU
rnacentral:rRNA from 1 species